UUCGCAAUGCCCGAAAGGGUGACGAAGCGACGCCGCGUGGGUGAGGAAGGCCUUCGGGUUGUAAAACCCUGUCAGGAGUUAAGAAAUAUAAGUGCGCUAAUAUCGCAUUUAUUUGACGAAGGCUCCAAAGGAAGCCACGGCUAACUCUGUGCCAGCAGCCGCGGUAAUACAGAGGUGGCAAGCGUUGUUCGGAAUUAUUGGGCGUAAAGAGCACGUAGGUGGAUUUGUAAGUCAGAUGUGAAAGCCUUCUGUUCAACGGAAGAAUUGCAUCUGAAACUACAAACCUUGAGUGUAGGAGGGGAGAAUGGAACUUCUGGUGGAGCGGUGAAAUGCGUAGAUAUCAGAAGGAACGCCGGCGGCGAAAGCGAUUCUCUGGCCUAUUACUGACACUCAGUGUGCGAAAGCUAGGGGAGCAAACGGGAUUAGAUACCCCGGUAGUCCUAGCCGUAAACGAUGGGCACUAAGUAGAGGGGUUUUA
rnacentral:rRNA from 1 species